rnacentral:misc_RNA from 1 species
ACAAACUUGGUCAUUUAGAGGAAGUAAAAGUCGUAACAAGGUUUCCGUAGGUGAACCUGCGGAAGGAUCAUUAAUGAAUUUGAGGACGUUCUUUUUAGAAGUCCGCAUCUCAUUUCCUUACACCGUGCAAAAACUAUUUUUUACACUUUUAUAACACUACAGUAUAAGAAUGUCAUAGUCUCUUAAUUGAGCAUAAAUAAAUAAAACUUUCAGCAACGGAUCUCUUGGCUCUCGCAUCGAUGAAGAACGCAGC